UACGUAGGCAGCGAGCGUUGUUCGGAGUUACUGGGCGUAAAGGGCUCGUAGGCGGCCAACUAAGUCAUACGUGAAAUCCCUCAGCUUAACUGGGGGAACUGCGUGUGAUACUGGAUGGCUUGGAUUUGGGAGAGGGAUGCGGAAUUCCAGGUGUAGCGGUGAAAUGCGUAGAUAUCUGGAGGAACACCGGUGGCGAAGGCGGCUGACUGGUCCGGUUCUGACGCUGAGGCGCGAAAGCGUGGGGGAGCAAAACAGG
rnacentral:rRNA from 1 species